AGUUCAAUGGAUAGAACGAGCGCCUCCUAAGCGCUAGAUACAGGUUCGAUUCCUGUC
rnacentral:tRNA from 1 species